rnacentral:rRNA from 1 species
UACGUAGGGGGCAAGCGUUGUCCGGAUUUAUUGGGCGUAAAGAGCUCGUAGGCGGUCUGUUGCGUCUGCUGUGAAAACUCGGGGCUUAACCCCGAGCCUGCAGUGGAUACGGGCAGACUAGAGGUAGGUAGGGGAGAAUGGAAUUCCCGGUGUAGCGGUGAAAUGCGCAGAUAUCGGGAGGAACACCGGUGGCGAAGGCGGUUCUCUGGGACGGUACUGACGCUGAGACGCGAAAGCGUGGGGAGCGAACAGG